ensembl:snRNA U6 U6 spliceosomal RNA
GUGCUCACUUCAGCAGCACAUGUACUAAAAUUGGAACAAUGCAGAGAAGAUUAGCACAGUCCCUGCACAAGGAUGAUAUGCAAAUUUGUAAAGCGUUCCAUAUUUUU